rnacentral:lncRNA from 1 species
GGAUGUGCUGGGCCUGACCAGCCGCCCGCUUUCCUCUUCUCUUGCCUCUGCCUGCCCCCUGGUGGACAGUCGGGGUAAAGCAUGGGAGUGCACCUUUGGGGUCUCAGUGGGGCUGAAAUACGACUCCUCCCCUAGGACAGCCUGCCUCCCCCAGCCUUGUUCUCCGGCAAAGUCAAUUUCCUGGAGAAUCGAGGCUCUGCCUCAGAUGUUCGGAGCCUCCGCAGGAUGAACACCUCCAUUUCAAUUCCAGGGGCCUUGAUCAACCUGUGCCUCCCUUGAUGCCCAUGGGCACCUUCCCUUAAGCAGUGCCCCCACGAGGUACACCUUUCCCGGGAAACAAAAAUCAUUCCUUCUUUGGGUCCUGCAAGCUGUAAAGAACCAAUACAGUACUGAGAUAUUGAACAUGUUGCCACUAUAAAAGCCCCUUGUGUUUCGAAGAGUACAUCUCUAUAGCCAUUCUUUUAUUCAUCAGAAACCAGCUAGAAUCCAGGCCCUGUGCUGGACGCUGGAGACAUGGAAGAAACUGGGCUGAGGCUCCCGCCUUGAAGAGCUUGUGGCCCAGGGAAGGGACAGUUCCUUCCCUGUCCCUUCAAUGGGACAAGGGCAAUCUGUCAUUGAUUGCCACGUGACAGUGUCUAUGAUGCUAAAAAGAUGCCAGUUUUGUGCUGCAGGAGCAAAGGCCGUGGAGGAAGAGGCUUUGGCUUUGUUGCGAGUUCUUGCCAGAGUGAGGCAAAGCCAGUCACCGCUUUGUUCAGAUGACUCAGGUAAAUAAAUGAGGCCGCACAGGCUGUCCUGACACCACACACCUCUAGAAUACCCUGGCUGUGCUGGGAGCUAUUGGUGUCAGCUGAGUAUUUUCAUCCCUGUCCAAGUCACAAUGAUCUGACUGUACCAGCCUGUGUGGAUGUUGCUAAGAGGAGGCAGACAGCACCAUGAGCUCCCUUAGAUGACGAUCGGCAUGAUGAUCCUGCUGUGGCAGCGCUCAGCUCUUGCCAGUGCUCUUCUCUGCUUUGCUCACUUUAAGCCUCCCUUAAUUUUUUUGAAGCCCAGUUUCCACAUUGCUGAUUCACAGAUAUGCAAGACUCAGGCAGGAAAAAAAAAGUGUCUCCUUUUCCAGACUUCUUAGGACUUGGAAAGAAAAUGAAAUGACGUUGAAUGAAAUCAAAGUAAAUUGAGUGAUCUGAAACGAUUUGAUGUCAGCAAGAAUUCCCCAUACAGCUCACAGCCCUCUCCCCAGCAUGCCUCCCUCUUGGGUAUGCUCUCUGCAGGCCCAAACCUUGCAGAAGCCAUUCCAUGUUCCCUGAGCAGGAAAAGACAAACUCAGACCGACAACCUUGGACUUCAAAAGACGGCACACAAGGGGAGGAAGGACUGAGAGUACCAAGGCGUGAAAAUUCAGAAUGCUGCUAUCUCAUUUAUUUUUACCAUUUAGGAACCGUUUUGAUCUGCAUUCUUUUCCCUCCCCUGAUUUCAAAAAAUAAAAAUAAAAAUGCUUCGGUUCUGAGGAGUAACUCUCCA